rnacentral:tRNA from 1 species
GCGCCUGUGGUGUAGAGGAAACGUAUCGGCCUUCCACGCCGAGGUCGCGGGUUCGAGUCCCGCCAGGCGCU